GACGAACGCUGGCGGCGUGCUUAACACAUGCAAGUCGAACGGAAAGGCCCUGCUUUUGUGGGGUGCUCGAGUGGCGAACGGGUGAGUAACACGUGAGUAACCUGCCCUUGACUUUGGGAUAACUUCAGGAAACUGGGGCUAAUACCGGAUAGGAGCUCCUGCUGCAUGGUGGGGGUUGGAAAGUGUCGGCGGUAGGGGAUGGACUCGCGGCUUAUCAGCUUGUUGGUGGGGUAGUGGCUUACCAAGGCUUUGACGGGUAGCCGGCCUGAGAGGGUGACCGGCCACAUUGGGACUGCGAUACGCCCCAGACUCCUACGGGAGGCAGCAGUGGGGAAUAUUGCACAAUGGGCGGAAGCCUGAUGCAGCGACGCCGCGUGCGGGAUGACGGCCUUCGGGUUGUAAACCGCUUUCGCCUGUGACGAAGCGUGAGUGACGGUAAUGGGUAAAGAAGCACCGGCUAACUACGUG
rnacentral:rRNA from 1 species